CAGAUUUUAUGUGGUUUCUUUGUAUAGUCGUCUGCUUUCUGUACCCAGUUGGUAAAUAUGUUUUACAUGUUUCAAUUAUAUUUUGUUGCAUUUUUUCAUGAAUUUGCAUUCGAGUAAGAUAGUAAAGCCAAUCUUUUUUAUAUUAUUGUCAAUAAAACGUUAUAUGGUACAGCUUGUUUUGCGUUCCUUUAAUAUUCCCGAACUUGUCAUAAUAGAAUAUGAAAAUCAAAGUCUUUUGGUACAUUCUUUCCACAUUUAUGAAACUACCUUCAUUCAAACGUGCGCACCAAUCAGUUGGAACACUAAUUCCAAGUAAUUUGAAUACCUGUGAAGCAAUAUGACAGAUCGGGAUCUAGCACAAAUAUCAACAUCAAUUUUAGGUCACCUUCUGCAGAUUGAUUUCGAAACUAAGUUUGUUAAUACUUCAAAAGCACCUUCCCGGAUGUAUCUUCACCAGGAACUCUCAAACGUAUCAGACAAAAAAAAUGAAGUAUGAAUAUAUUCCUAAAAUAAAUCUCGGCAUCAUAUCUUUUUAUAGAUGGCGGCACCACAUGUUUGUCAUGUAGCAGUGUAGAAAGUGUAAUAGACUGUACUCACUUGGAAAGAUGCGGGAAUAAUGAGGUACUUUUCACUUAUUUCUUAUCAUUGUUUCGUACAUGUUAAUAUUAAACUGUAUCAAUUAAGCCAUGCCGGAAAAAGACAAACACAAAUACAUAAUUAAAUUCACACAUUUCACUAGAAUUAUGAAAUAGCUGAUAACUGUUUGUAUGUUUUGAAGUUAUAUGUGUAAGCUUGAAAUAAAAAUACAUAUUGAUAUUAGGGCACCGUAAUAUUUUAAUAAUUAGCACCGUAAAUAUAUGCAUUUACAUUCAAUUUUAGACUCUCAUUUUUAUAUUCCAUUUUUAGAUUCGCAUCCGAUUCACAUUCAACAAUUAUAUAUCUCACAUUGAAUUCCAAUCUUAUAUGGUGUUUUGUGUGUACGACGUAUAUACCUUAUUUAGUCGCUAAUGUUUAAAUCUGAAAAGUUUUAUGAAAUAUUUACUCAUCAAAUUUACAUUCGAGUUCGAUAUUUGAGCAUGUAGCAUUUUAUCGUUUGUAUUGAUAACUUGAUGUAUAAGAUGUUCCUCGUUUAAUUAAAGGAAGUAAUAAAAAAAAGUGACAUAGUUUGGUCAUCAGGAAAAUGUAAACUGUACAAAAUAAAGACUCGUUGUACUUUAAAGCAUCUGUGUACUGAUUUUAGUUUUUGACACGUAUUAGGACUAUGCUUACAUUUUGUAACGUACGUUGUUUUAAACCUUGAGCGUAUUUAAAAUGAAAUUUAUAAUUUUCUUAAAAAAACACCAAACAAGAAUGUUUACGAUGUAACAUCAAAUACACGAUUACCUUUAUGUCUAUAAAUUAAAAUAUUUUACAUUAAUUUCAUUUCAAAACAGAUAGAAGUUACUGUCUGUUGGGAUUUUAUAACUAAGGAUGGCUCUAGAUCUGAUCAUUAUCUGUUUAUUUUAAUCUCAUUCAUGAGUUAUGCAUUGUUCUUCUUUCUAUAAUACAACAAAAGGUCGAAAAGAAUCAUGUUGCAGAUUUGUAGGCUUUGAUGAUGAUUGUGUUUUAUUUAGUCAGUUAACAUCGUGUGUAUCUUCUACUUGCAUUUUUGUAUGAGUAAUACCUUUCUGUUUCUUCUAGAUUUGCUUUGCACAUAAAUAUGUUACAGAAUCAAAAUCGGAAUUGUAUGACUUCGGAUGCACUUACCAAAAGGUAAAUAAGAUAAUUAAAAAACAGAUAAUUGUUGAAACUAGGAAUAUUUAGAAACACGUUAAACAUGUUAAAGAAAUAUAAUAUGAACUAUUUAUAAUGACUUUUUUUGUAAUCUGUUAGAACAAAUCGUAAGUAACUCUAAUGUCUCCGAAUGAUGCAUAAAUUCAUAGAAGGUAUGACUAGAAAGUCGCCCUCAUUUGCCGACGAAAAAAGUUCAAUAAAAUACGGCUAAAGUUGUUAUUCUGGUUACCUAAAGUCACUUCGAGUUAUGUUAUUGGAGAGUAAAACUAAUGCUGCAACUUAUGAUUACAAAAUCAUUUUUUAAAAGAAGCUUCAUUUGGCCAUAUCACUACACGAUCAAUGUAUGAUAUGGUAAAGCCGAGUGUUCACUCAUUGUUAUCAUUACACACGCAUGUGCGUUUCCUGGGAACAACACCUCGGAUACUUAAAUAAACAAUAGUUCUAUAGCAUAUAUCAAAGCGUUGUAAUUCAAUUUUAAACUUAUGUGUUUGCAUCUCCAUUUGAAAUCCGUCCCAUGUCUUUUAUCAAACCUUGUUAUUAAACAUUCCGUAUCGAUUUCAUAAAGACUGAAUGAUUGUAUUGGAGUACUGCUUCUAAAUGCUGACUUUGUUUUUCAUCUUACUUAUAUGUACGUGUUAAAGAGAUAUCUUUAUUUUUCCGUGUACAUUUUAAACUUUUACAGUUUAGUUUAUCUUAUGUUGUACACGUUUGGCGUGACUCGGUAUUUGUGCACCCCGCCCUUAUGUUAUUGUUUUUUUGUCAGUUUUGUAUUCUUGUCCUUCAUGUUUGCUAAUGUACUUUGUUAAUAAAGUGUCUAUAUGCCAUUUAAGACUAUUUUAGGUAGUAAUUUGUUUACAGUAAUUAAGAUUAGAACACAAUAUAGAUGACUGUUGUACCCUAUAUUUUGACAUUUUUCCUAUGAUUUAUGCUUACUUUGCUCUCACAAUGUUGACGUAUUAUGGAAUUCUAUCGACUGUCAUACAAGUGAGAAGUUUAGCUAGCUGUACAACUAGAGUACUGAUUUAAUUUAGGAAUCUGAAAGUUGUUUCUGCUAUUUUCUAUUCCUUUGGUGGUUCUGAGCUUUUGAUUUUGUCAAAAAACUUUUCGUUUGAGGUUACCUGUAUGUACAGAAUAUAAAUGAACUUGAAGGUAAAUAUUGCCUUUGAAUCAGUCUGAAUAUACCAUGGCAUGUAGUUUACUUUUGUGUUUUUAAUUCAUACAACUGCAGUUUCACUGUCCUUUUGUUAUUGGUACAAAACAAAAAAACAAAUGUAUUGAUGCUUUAAGGUAUUUUACAUUUUUCAAUAUUUUCUCUGAAAAAAAACCAUGCUAAUUAUUUAUGGUAAAGGUUAAAUUUUAUUAAAUUUUUAAAUAAAAUAUAAGAUUAUGUGUUUAUAGACAUUCGUGUUGUAAUCAAAAUUAAUGAUAACAUUAUGUAUUAACAUUUUGAACACAUCGACCUCUAGUCAAAAUAUUUGAAUAAUGAAUCGUACAAAGAAAUACAAAACAACCGUCAAUUCUAUUUUUACAUGAUUUAUAGUAAUUACAAAUAGUUUUGAAAGCCACAUUUAUCUAAAUAGCAAAGUAUAAUGGAAUUAUAGGAAUUAAUCGGAAACUUUUAUCAUUAUAUUAAAAAAAACGAACAAUACAAUAUUAUCUUAUGUCAUAACGUAAUAUAGCAGUAUAACGUAUUGCAGCUUUGCGUUCCUGGUAGUUCCGGGUCCAUUUUCGGAAAACGACUAUCAGAGGGCCAUCACAUUGUAUGUCAGACGUGCUGUAAUGACACAGACAUAUGUAAUAUGAAGAGUUCAUGCGUAACUAACGUUGCAAAUACCUCGUCCACAGGACACAGUACUGGUAAUAUAUAUGCAUUCCCUUUUCACUUAUGCUUUGAUCAAUCAUUCAAAAACAGCUGUACUUGUGAAUGCCGAUUGAACAGAAAACUGACUGACAAAUCAUUUAUACCACAACAUCUUGAAAUGAUGUGUCAUGA
rnacentral:lncRNA from 1 species